rnacentral:rRNA from 1 species
CCCUUUUCCAAAGAGGGGUAUGCGGAAGGAUCAUUACCGAGUGAGGGCCCUCUGGGUCCAACCUCCCACCCGUGUCUAUCGUACCUUGUUGCUUCGGCGGGCCCGCCGUUUCGACGGCCGCCGGGGAGGCCUUGCGCCCCCGGGCCCGCGCCCGCCGAAGACCCCAACAUGAACGCUGUUCUGAAAGUAUGCAGUCUGAGUUGAUUAUCGUAAUCAGUUAAAACUUUCAACAACGGAUCUCUUGGUUCCGGCAUCGAUGAAGAACGCAGCGAAAUGCGAUAAGUAAUGUGAAUUGCAGAAUUCAGUGAAUCAUCGAGUCUUUGAACGCACAUUGCGCCCCCUGGUAUUCCGGGGGGCAUGCCUGUCCGAGCGUCAUUGCUGCCCUCAAGCACGGCUUGUGUGUUGGGCCCCCGUCCCCCUCUCCCGGGGGACGGGCCCGAAAGGCAGCGGCGGCACCGCGUCCGGUCCUCGAGCGUAUGGGGCUUUGUCACCUGCUCUGUAGGCCCGGCCGGCGCCAGCCGACACCCAACUUUAUUUUUCUAAGGUUGACCUCGGAUCAGGUAGGGAUACCCGCUGAACUUAAGCAUAUCAAAACCGGGAAGGGAUCAUUACCGAGUGAGGGCCCUCUGGGUCCAACCUCCCACCCGUGUCUAUCGAACCUUGUUGCUUCGGCGGGACCGCCUAUUUUAACGGUCGCGGGGAAGGUCUUUGCGCCCCAGCCCCCGCGAAACCCUACAUGAAAGCUGUUCUGUAAAGUAUGCAGUCUGAGUUGAUUAUCAUAAUCACGUUAAAACUUUUCAACAACGGAUCUCUGGAUUCGGCAUCGAUAAGAAAGCAGCGAAUGCGAUAGUAAUGUGAAAUUGCACAGUCAUUGAAUCAUCGAGCUCUUUGAACGCACAAUUGCGCCUCCCUGCUAUUCAGGGAGCAUGCUUGUCGAGCAUCAUUGCUGCCACGACCAGGAUGGUGAUAUGGGCGCGCUCUCCUCUCAGAGGAGGACCAAGGCAGCCGCACCCGUCGGUCUUCAGAAGGGUUGUACCUGUUCUUAGGCGCGAGCCGACACCAAUAUUCAGUACCUCGACGUGCAUCCGCUCAUAGCCUAGCGUGGAAGAA